rnacentral:rRNA from 1 species
UACGUAGGGUGCAAGCGUUAAUCGGAAUUACUGGGCGUAAAGCGUGCGCAGGCGGUGAUGUAAGACAGUUGUGAAAUCCCCGGGCUCAACCUGGGAACUGCAUCUGUGACUGCAUCGCUGGAGUGCGGCAGAGGGGGAUGGAAUUCCGGCGUGUAGCAGUGAAAUGCGUAGAUAUGCGGAGGAACACCGAUGGCGAAGGCAAUCCCCUGGGCCUGCACUGACGCUCAUGCACGAAAGCGUGGGGAGCAAACAGG